CAGUAAGUAGUUUAUUAAAAAUUUAAGUUUUGGGUACUUAAGAUGUUUACAUUAAUCUUUACUGA
rnacentral:tRNA from 1 species